GUCGUUUCAUCCGUGCUCGACAUUGGUGUCUUGCCGUUCUGCCAAAGUCAUGGAAAUCUCACUGUUCUGCCAACCUGGCCGGAAUUUCUCCGUACUGCCGACUUCAUCGGAAUUACAUCUACCCGUGUAGCCAAGGUACAUCAUUCAAACUACUCGAGUAAUACUAAUUCGGACUUGUUUUGAUCAAGCGGUUGAACUGAACCAUGCUACUGCACAAUAGCCAAAAGGAGAGUCAGUUUGUUUCUCUGACCCCUGUGAUUUGAAGCAGCUAAUCUGAACUAUGCUAUUACACAAUAGCCCAAAGUUUGUCUGAUAGAUAUGAGUAUCAUCAUAUAAUUUUGUUUCUAGAACGUGUAAUAGGUAACCAACAAUGUUGUUUUCAGUUUACAAGAAUGCUAAUGUUGUUUGAAUGCAUAUAUAAUUACUGGAAUUAGUUUGAAUGCAUAUACAGUACCUUGAUGUUGAAUUUACAAGGUCCUGAUGUUGGAUUUAUUGUCUUAUAGAUUUUGUAAUUUACAGUUACUCCACAAAGUUGGUGACUGUUGUUUGUACAGUGAGCUGAUAUAGAAUGCUUCAUCACACAAACUAAUCUGACUGCAUAUUUACAAUAUGGUGAUGGUGGAUUGACACUGUCCUAUAGAUGUUGAAUUUACAGUAUGGUGAUGGUGGAUUUACACUGCCCUAUAGAUUUUGUAAUUUAUUCUAGAAGCUGUGUAGCUCCAUAUAGUGUGUCAUUGUUGUUCGUACAGUGAGUUCAUAUAGAAUACUUGAUCACAUGGAUUUGUCUCAAUGUAUAUUAUUAGUUUCCUGGUGUUUAAUUUAUAAUACAUUGAUGAUGGAUUUAUGGUCCUAUGGCUUCUGUAAAUUUUAGUACUCCCUUCGUCCGAAAAUACUUGUCGAAGAAAUGGAUAAAAAUGGAUGCAUCUAAAAACUAAAAUACGUCUAGAUACAUCCAUUCCUCCGACAAGUAUUUUCGGACGGAGGGAGUAGUUCUUUUGAGACUGUUUUAUUUUACAGUGAGAUGAUAGUGAAUUUUCCAGUGGCCACCGCUUUCUGAGAUCGCCAUCACUACCUAGCACUCUGAUUUUGCUAUAACUGUUGUCCUCCUAAUAGGUACUAUACUUUCUCUUUCUACUUCUUUUGUUUUGCCAUUUUUGUUAAAGUUCAUUAUGAUUCUUUUAUAUUCAUUGUACCUCUUCUUGUUUGCCGUUCUCGAUGCUGCAACAUUGGUAACUGAGAAUCCGGCGACAAUCAAAUAGAAGUCGAAGAAUUCUUGUCCUUCUCUUGUGUUGAACUCCAUUUCCAGGUGCGGCAUUAUAAUGCUCUCAAUGUUCAUGACAUUUCCUUCGUGUGCUAUAGUAUUUACAUGUUCCAAGCAUUACCCUCUUCAUUUAAAUACUCAUUUUCCUUUUCAGGCUGCCGUAACUGAUGGUUAUCCGUGCUUUUCUCAGCUUCAUUAUUACUCUCCUUAUGUUCCACACAUGUGGCACAUUGCCUGAAGUGUAUGAAUUUCCCCAUAACAUGAUGGAUCCUUCAUCUUCAGCUAACUUGCAGCAAUGCAGCAAGUGUAUGCUUUUUAUUUAUUUAUUUUCUUCAGGAAUUUUUUUUGCUGAUGCAAUCUGAAUAUGUGUUUACAUAUCAGUUUCUCUACUUGAUGUUUCUUAAUUACCUUGUCCAAGCUUAGAUUGUCAAGAAGUCAUACUUUCCAGGGAUUUGAAGAAGCUGGAUCAAUACAACUUUAUGUAGAGAAACUUUAUGUAGCUUGCUGUCUUGCUGUACAUUGUCUGAAGCUCUAUGUAGCUUGCUGUCUUGUUGUACAUUGCUGUAACUUACAGUUACAGGGUUGUACAAUCCUGUAUCAUCAAACUGGUUUUCUGUAGCAUAUCUUGUUUGUCCUGG
rnacentral:lncRNA from 1 species